GCCGGGCGUGGUGGCGUGUGCCUGUAGUCCCAGCUACUUGGGAGGCUGAGGCAGGAGAAUUGCUUGAGUCCGGGAGGCGGAGGUUACAGUGAGCCGAGAUCACACCAUUGCACUCCAGCCUGGGCGACAGAGCAAGACUCUGUCUCAA
ensembl:misc_RNA Metazoa_SRP Metazoan signal recognition particle RNA